rnacentral:rRNA from 1 species
UACGGGGGGGGCAAGCGUUGUUCGGAAUUACUGGGCGUAAAGGGCUCGUAGGCGGCCAACUAAGUCAGACGUGAAAUCCCUCGGCUUAACCGGGGAACUGCGGCUGAUACUGGAUGGCUUGAGUUUGGGAGAGGGAUGCGGAAUUCCAGGUGUAGCGGUGAAAUGCGUAGAUAUCUGGAGGAACACCGGUGGCGAAGGCGGCAUCCUGGACCAACACUGACGCUGAGUGAGCGAAAGCCAGGGGAGCAAACGGG